rnacentral:rRNA from 1 species
AUUGCACGCUGGCGGCAGGCCUAACACAUGCAAGUCGAACGAGUGGCGGACGGGUGAGUAAUGUCUGGGAAACUGCCUGAUGGAGGGGGAUAACUACUGGAAACGGUAGCUAAUACCGCAUACCAUCAGAUGUGCCCAGAUGGGAUUAGCUAGUUGGUGGGGUAACGGCUCACCAAGGCGACGAUCCCUAGCUGGUCUGAGAGGAUGACCAGCCAAACUGGAACUGAGACCCGGGCCAGACUCCUACGGGAGGCAGGAGUGGGGAAUAUUGCACAAUGGGCGCAAGCCUGAUGCAGCCAUGCCGCGUGUAUGAAGAAGGCCUUCGGGUUGUAAAGUACUUUCAGCGGGGAGGCGUUACCCGCAGAAGAAGCACCGGCUAACGCCGUGCCAGCAGCCGCGGUAAUUC